rnacentral:rRNA from 1 species
AUGUCCCCAUUGUGCCACCUCCUCUGCCUCCAUUCAUUGUAUCCUUCCCGCCGCAAGCAACCACAUCGAUGUGAGGGGGAUGAUCGUGCCGCCGCCACAGACUGCAUGUCAGUCUCCUUGGCCUGCGGCGUCGCGGCCGUCAUCAACCGUGGCGCGACGAUCAGCAGCCUACAUGCCGCCCUGCAUGAGACGACGAAAGGAGGCAGGACCUCUGCGCAGCUCGACCGUACCGACGCGAUGCCGCCUGUGACUCUGAACGAUGAUGUAUUCACCGAGAUCCUGCUGCGGUUACCGCCCAAGUCGGUAUUCCGCUGUCGCGCCGUCUGCAAACUGUGGCGAAGCAUCACCACCUGCGCCUCCUUUGUCGCUGCCUACAGCCGCCGCCGGCCGCUAGAGCUCCUCGUUUACCCGGACAUGUACAAGCCGAAUCCUGGCAGCAAGAACGCGGUCGCCGCGGUCUCUCUCGAUGGUACAGUGACUGGGUGCCGGCGUCUCCUGCGCCAAGACGCUUUCUUGACGCUUUUCGGCUCUUGCGACGGUCUGCUGCUGUUUUCGCAAGCGGCUCAGCACAGCUUUCUCAUCUGCAACCCGGCGACGCGACAGUGGGCAAGAUUGCCGGCGCUGAAACCACAUCCGUGCUCGUGGGUCAUGCCAGCCGGCUUCUAUUUCCAUCGACCCUCCGGCGAGUACCGCGUACUAUGCUACGGCCUGGAGAGGCGUUCGCCGACUGAUCUACAAAUCAAUCGCGGUACGCAUCAUAGAUGUCACUACGUGCUGUCAACCAGCGGUGCCGAGCCACGGCGGCUUGGCCCCUUUGACGAGACGCCCGAUGGCGAUGGCCGUGUUCAUGUGUACUCGGACUGCGGCGUGGCUGUCAGCGGGACCCUAUACUGGGCAAAGCAUGGCCAGCUCGCCGAAACCUCCAUGAACAUGCUGGCAUUCGACACGGUGACGAAGGCUUUCCGGCGAGUGCCGCUACCCUCGGUCGCAUGCUCAGUUUACAAGGACCUCGGCUUGUUCGAUAUGCACGGGACGCUCGCCGCCUCAGUGGUGGUCGAGUGGCCCCCUGCCACCAUGCGAAUCUGGGCCCUGGAGGACGGCGAGAGGUGGUCGUUCCGCCUUUGUCUCGAGCUGCCUGCACAGCGACCUGCACGUCUGUUGGAGUUGGACCAGCUUGAAGAUGAAGAUUACCGGCUGUUUGAGCCCAAGGACCGCGACCGGUCGUUGCACUUCGACUGCCCAAUUGGCCGAAAUUCCCGGCCGCUCAACGAAGUCGUGGCGGCGCUUGAGGGGGAUAUGAUUGCGGUGUUCGCCUCCGGCUGGGUGGUGCUGUACGACAUGACGGAGAAGAAGAUGGUAAGUAAGGUUGAUCAGAGCUAUAAUUACAGUUGCGCGCUCUGGUGUGUUUGCAGGGAGAGCCUCGUGCCGGCGGUACCCAAGGGCCAGCCCUCCCCGGCCGGCGAGCCUAUGCGCUCCCACGACCACCUUAAGUUGCUGCACUACUGUUAG